rnacentral:misc_RNA from 1 species
CAUUAGACCGCGUGAGGGAUAAUAGUGAAAAGCCCGGAAUUGUGUUGCAGCGCAGCGAAAGCACAAUGAGGACUUGCAGCGGAUAGCCCGACAGCAA